ensembl:lncRNA
GUAGUCUAACAUAUGUUCUUGCUGCUCAGGUCUUCGUUCGAUGCAUGCUGCUGCUUUACUGUGCUUUCGACUUCGAUUCUCGUAUCUCUCGUCGCUCAGUUACAAUGUCGGGUUAUACCCACCCAGAGGUCGUAACGUUGGAUUCUGAUGAGGACGCUAUCCCUCCAUCUCCUGCCAUAUCGCAUAGGAGUUCUCGAAUCAGUGUCUUGAUGGUGCAUUGUUAAGUUUGGAGGUUAACACUCUAAACAGCUCAUGUUCGGAUCAACCAUCCGGCUCUGUUCCCUCCGCCUUCAAAGGCUACGCACCUGGCACGUGCCUUGCUACCAUGGCUACUGCAGCCCCUGCGUUAGCCCCCGUAAUGUAUACUCUCUCUACAGCUCUACCAGCCCAGCUUCAGGGAAUUCAGACGUCUAUGCCCCGCUGCGAAACGGACCCAAUAAUCAGCCCACCCUUCCACGAACUCCGGCUGGAUUAGGCAACGGGUUAAAUUCGCUGCUAGACUCCUUAUCCGGAUCCUUCGCUCCAGCUCGCCUGCCUCGCUCCUUCCCCGGCUACCUCAUCCACUACCUGCCUCCUCGCCUCGUACAAUAAACCCUUUUUUCAUCAAUUCAACUUCGUCUCCGUCUGCUCUUGGGUUCAGCAUCGUUUAACCAUAACACAUGUGAAUUUAAUUACCACGCCGGUGGCAUAAUAUCAAACGCUCAAGUGCAGGGCACUCGGAGUUCAGUGACCACG